GACCUCGUAGCUUAGCUGGUAGAGCGUGCGUUGUAAAGAAGCGUAGGCGGUGUUCAUGCGUGGGUUCGAAUCCCACCGACCUUA
rnacentral:tRNA from 1 species